rnacentral:rRNA from 1 species
AACAGGAUUAGAUACCCUGGUAGUCCAUGCCGUAAACGUUGGGCACUAGGUGUGGGGGACAUUCCACGUUUUCCGCGCCGUAGCUAACGCAUUAAGUGCCCCGCCUGGGGAGUACGGCCGCAAGGCUAAAACUCAAAGGAAUUGACGGGGGCCCGCACAAGCGGCGGAGCAUGCGGAUUAAUUCGAUGCAACGCGAAGAACCUUACCAAGGCUUGACAUGAACCGGAAUGAUGAAGAGAUGUGUCAGCCACUUGUGGCCGGUUUACAGGUGGUGCAUGGUUGUCGUCAGCUCGUGUUGUGAAAUGUUGGGUUAAGUCCCGCAACGAGCGCAACCCUUAUCCUUUGUUGCC